ACGGGGGCUUUUUUAGACUCCUCCCCCUCUUCCCCCCCUCUUCCCUCCUCUCUCACCAGCUAGCCGUCACCUCGUUGUCUUCUCUCCCUCCUCUCUCCUCUCUCCUCUCUCUCUCUCUCCACACGUGCCACUCUACCCUAUCCCUUAAUCACUAGUUUUCCAACUUCUCAUCAAAAGAGAAUUUGGCAAGUCAUGUAUCAUCUAAUCUUACUCGUUUUCUUGGAAAUUGUAUCCAUGAUAUAUAGUUUGCAAGUGAGGGAGUAUACUUUGACAUGCUUUUGAUCUUUCCAUGGCUAUAUAUACCUAUUGACUUGAAGCUAAUAUCAAUGAUGCCUUUGACUGAUCAUGUUCAAUAUCCCAUGCAUAUCUAUCAAGCUAUGUAUAUAUAUAUAUAUAUUGCCAUGCAACAAGUUUGAGAGAAAAUCAACUCCUCAGAAACCUAUUUUUUUCUCUAAAUCCAUUGCCAAUUGCAUACAUAUCAGAUGAAAUCAAGUUUCCGCAAGGAUUUGGAGGAAUACCCUUUUCCCUUUGGUACAGCUCUAUGCAUGGGAAGAUAUAGAAAAGCUAAGUAAAUGGAUCACGAACUCUGCAGGGGCCCGGGGGAGGAAGCAAGACUGUUUUUUUCUGAUCAAAAUCGCUGGGGGCAAGCUCUUUUCUCCGAUGAACGUGUCACGAGAUGUUUGUAUCUGAGUCUUUUGAUCAUAUGCAAGCUAGUUUGGAGUUGGAUCCUUGCUUCCAGCAUUGUCUCCAUUCCACGCGGACAAAUCAUGUACCCACCUAUUCACAUGUGUGCCCUUUAAUCAUUACAACAAAACAACACUCUCCAUACAAAUACCUGCGCCUAACUUGUCUCUUGCCUUCCAUGAAAUGCUGCUCUUUCCUACACUUUGUUUUCCCUUUUUUCUUUUUUUCUUUUUUUUUGUUAUUAAACUUUCCAUUGAUUUUGAAUUUGAUCCCAUCCCUUCCCAUUCAAUCACAGUAUACUACUAUCUAGAUUUUACUAUAGGGUCUCUGUAGAUUCGAUUUCCUUUCUGAAUAUGAAAAAGUUGUGGGAUUAAA
rnacentral:lncRNA from 1 species